UACGUAGGGGGCAAGCGUUGUCCGGAAUCAUUGGGCGUAAAGAGCGUGUAGGCGGUCCGGUCAGUCGGUUGUGAAAGUCAAGGGCUCAACCCUUGAAUGCCGGCCGAUACUGCCGGGCUAGAGUCCGGAAGAGGUGAGUGGAAUUCCUGGUGUAGCGGUGAAAUGCGCAGAUAUCAGGAGGAACACCGGUGGCGAAGGCGGGUCUCUGGGCCGAUACUGACGCUGAGACGCGAAAGCGUGGGGAGCGAACAGG
rnacentral:rRNA from 1 species